rnacentral:rRNA from 1 species
GAUGAACGCUGGCGGCGUGCUUAACACAUGCAAGUCGAACGAAGCACUUUGAAAAGUUUACUUUUUAGAGUGACUGAGUGGCGGACGGGUGAGUAACGCGUGGGUAACCUGCCUUACACAGGGGGAUAACAGUUAGAAAUGACUGCUAAUACCGCAUAAAACAGCAGUACCGCAUGGUACAACUGUCAAAGAUUUAUCGGUGUAAGAUGGACCCGCGUCUGAUUAGCUAGUUGGUGGGGUAACGGCCUACCAAGGCGACGAUCAGUAGCCGACCUGAGAGGGUGACCGGCCACAUUGGGACUGAGACACGGCCCAA